rnacentral:rRNA from 1 species
UACGUAGGCAGCAAGCGUUGUUCGGAGUUACUGGGCGUAAAGGGUGUGUAGGCGGUUGUUUAAGUUUGGUGUGAAAUCUCCCGGCUCAACUGGGAGGGUGCGCCGAAUACUGAAUGACUAGAGUGCGGGGAGAGGUAAAGUGGAAUUCCUGGUGUGCGGUGAAAUGCGUAGAUAUCAGGAGGAACACCGGUGGUGUAGACGGCUUUCUGGGACCGUAAACUGACGCUGAGACACGAAAGCGUGGGUAGCAAACAGG